rnacentral:rRNA from 1 species
AUUGAACGCUGGCGGCAUGCCUUACACAUGCAAGUCGAACGGCAGCACGGGAGCAAUCCUGGUGGCGAGUGGCGAACGGGUGAGUAAUGUAUCGGAACGUACCUUCAGUGGGGGAUAACGUAGCGAAAGUUACGCUAAUACCGCAUAUUCUGUGAGCAGGAAAGCAGGGGAUCGCAAGACCUUGCGCUGAUUGAGCGGCCGAUAUCAGAUUAGCUAGUUGGUGAGGUAAAGGCUCACCAAGGCGACGAUCUGUAGCGGGUCUGAGAGGAUGAUCCGCCACACUGGAACUGAGACACGGUCCAGACUCCUACGGGAGGCAGCAGUGGGGAAUUUUGGACAAUGGGCGCAAGCCUGAUCCAGCCAUGCCGCGUGAGUGAAGAAGGCCUUCGGGUUGUAAAGCUCUUUCGGCCGGGAAGAAAUCGCACGGGUUAAUACCCUGUGUGGAUGACGGUACCGGAAUAAGAAGCACCGGCUAACUACGUG